UACAAAUGUAAGGGGUUUCCCAAGUCACAUUGCAGGGUUUGUCCAGUAGGAGACUACAUGGGGGACUGAGUUUUACAGACAGAAUACCCAUCAUACACUGCUGUACCAAGGAGAUAAUUAACCCAGAAUGCAUUGCUAAUGGGAUUAUCUCUUGGUACAGAGAAAUACAGUUUUUACAUUAAAAUCCAUAACCGACAUAAUUUUCCUGCUAGGCAGCUACUAAACCCUUUAUUACAUAACAGGGACCUGGGCGCACAGUUAAGGGAACUUGCGCUCAGAUCCCAGCACAAAUAACCAAACGCAGUUCAUUUUCCUGUAUCAAGAACACUUAG